AUGAGUCAGUGUGAGGACAGAGAGGAGGGAGUCCCUCCCUCUAAAAGGACUCAGUUGGGGGAACAUGACAGCCAGACCAAAGCUCAGAGCCCAGAGCAGCAGAAUACAGCAGAUUCUGCUGGACCUGGACCUGGACCUGGACCUGAACCCAGCUGUGUGUCCUUUAAGAGCAACCGGUCAAAUGAUCUCAUCAUUGAUUUUAAAGGACGACAACCUUCUGCUACAAAGAGGUAUCACAAUGUCAUUUUUUUCCAAUAUCGUACAGCUCUACUUAGAAUACAGGCCAACAGUGUCGCUGCUGAUGACAGUUCACUUUGUUAUGUGUCAAUAACAGUAAAGCUUUAGUAAAGUCAGCUGUUAACAUUACACAUUACACUAAUAACAUUAAAAUGUACCUGAUUCAUCUUUUUAAAAUCUGUUUAUUUUAGCAUUGUUCUUCUUCACAUACAUUAAUAAUUUCACAUCCAAAAGCUUCCCAGUAUAACCAGUAUAACCAGUCUUCAACCCUUAACUUCAGUUUUAUCCUUUUCAAUUCAAUUCAAUUCAAUUUUAUUUGUAUAGCGCCAAUUCAUAACAGAAGUUAUCUCAGGACACUUUCAAAUAGAGCAGGUCUAGACCGAACUCUUUAACAUUAAUUACAGAGACCCAACAGUACCACCAUGAGCAAGCACUUGGCGACAAGGGCAAGGAAAAACUGCCUGUUAAAAGGCAGAAACCUAGGACAGAUCCUCCGGCUCUAGGUGGGUGGUCGUCUGUCUCGACCAGUUGGGGUGAGAGAGAGAGAGAGAGAGAGAGAGAGAGAGAGAGAGAGAGCGACAGACAGACAGACAGGUGCACAGCAACAACAGUAUUGGCAAUGGCAGUCAAGCAGGACCAUGUCAGGAGGCUCCACCAGGAUCCAUGAGAACCUGCGAGACGAGAAAGCACAAGAACUCCGGGGAAGAAGUGGAGUUAGUAACAUGCAUUAAAGGGACAUGAAUGAGUGCAGAAAGAGAGAGGAAGAGAGUAGCUCAGUGCACCAUGGGAAAUCCCCCGAUAGUCUAGGCCUAUAGCAGCAUAACUAAGGGAUGGUUCAGGACUCACCUGAUCCAGCCCUAACUAUAAGCUUUAUCAAAGAGGAAUGUCUUUUAGAGACUAUAGGAACCACAAGUAGCCCUGCAUUCACUGCUGCAGUGUUUUGAAUUAAUUGGAGCGUCUUAAUGGACUUAUUGGGGCAGCCUGAUAAUACAGAGUUGCAGUAAUCCAGCCUAGAAGUAACAAAUGCAUGGAUUAAUUUUUCUGCAUCUGUCUGUGACCGGAUGUCUCUAAUUUUUGUAAUAUUACGUAAAUGAAAGAAGGCAGUCCUAGAGGUCUGCUUUAUGUGGGAAUUAAAUGACAAAUCCUGAUCAAAGAUAACUCCAAGAUUCCUGACAGUGGUACUCGAGGCCAAGGUAAUGCCAUCUAGAGUAACUAUAUCUUCAGACAGUGAGUCUCUGAGGUUUUUGGGUCCAAGUACAAUUUAACAUCAGAAAAUUGCAACUCAUCCAGGAUUUUAUGUCCGUAAGACAUGUUUGUGAUUUACAUAAUUGAUUCAUUUCAUCGGGCUUGAUCAAUAGAUAUAACUGCGUAUCAUCUGCAUAGCAAUGAAAGUUAAUGGCGUGAUUCCUAAUAAUGUUGCCUAAAAGGAGCAUAUAUAAAGUGAAUAGUAUUGGUCCAAGUACAGAACCUUGUGGACCUCCAUGACUAACGGUGGUAUUUAUGGAAGAUUCAUCGUUAACAUGUACAAACUGCGAAUGAUCUGAUAAAUAUGACUUAAACCAGCUUAGUGUGGUUCCUUUAAUGCCAAUUUGAUGCUCAAGUCUCUGUAAAAGAAUAUUAUGGUCAAUGGUAUCAAAUGCAGCACUAAGAUCUAAUAAUACAAGUAUAGAGACAAGUCCAUUAUCAGAAGCAGUCAGAAGGUCAUUAUUAACUUUAACCAGAGCUGUCUCUGUGCUGUGAUGAACUCUAAAUCCUGACUGAAAAUCCUAAAAACUAUUGUUAUGUAAAAAGUCACACAACUCUUUGGCGACUACUUUCUCCAGAAUCGUAGAGAGGAAGGGGAGGUUAGAAAUAGGUCUAUAGUUGACUAAAACCCCUGGGUCAAGAGUGGGCUUUUUAAGAAGGGGUUUAAUUACAGCUACUUUAAAGGACUGUGGUACAUAUCCUGACAAUAAGGAAAGAUUAAUCAUAUCUAGUAAAGAAGUGCCAAUUAAGGGUACGACUUCUUUAAGCAGCCUAGUUGGGAUGGGGUCUAACAGACAGGUUGAUGGCUUCGAUGUAGAAAUUAUUUGAAGAUCGAUAGCAGAAAAACAGUCUAAAUAUAUAUCUGAGUUUACAUUGACAAAGUCCCUGAACUUGGAGAGCCACUGAUACUGUUGAUGGCAGUUGGUGAUUCAUUUUUAUAUAUAUUAUUACUGUACUGUUAUCAAUAAUACAUUAUAAAUGUACUUUUAUCAAUAAUACAUUAUAACUGUGUACUGUUGUCAAUAAUACAUUAUAACUGUGUACUGUUAUCAAUAAUACAUUAUAACUGUGUACUGUUAUCAAUAAUACAUUGUAACUGUACUGUUAUCAAUAAUACAUUAUAACUGUACUGUUAUCAAUAAUACAUUAUAACUGUGUACU
rnacentral:lncRNA from 15 species